rnacentral:lncRNA from 10 species
GUCUCUACUAAAAAUACAAAAAUUAGUUGGGCAUGGUGGCAUGCGCCUGUAGUCCCAGCUACUUGGGAGGCGGAGGCAGGAGAAUUGCUUGAACCCGGGAGGUGGAGGUUGCAGUGAGCCAAGGUCACGCCACUGAACUCCAGCGUAAUGACAGAGUGAGACUCUGUCUCAAAAAAAAAAAUUAGUGUUCUAAUUUUCACUUAAACAUUAAGUUAAAAAAAUGACAUUCUCCUUUGUAAUUCAAAGGAGACAUAGUAAGAGUCAUAUGACCAGAAACCAUGUUUUAAAAUUUCAUAAUUUACCUUGUGACAUGUGUUUAUCUGUGUAACAAACCUUCACAUGUACCCCCAAACUUAAAAAAUAAAUAAAAAUUUUAUAAUUUAGAUUGUCAACAUUUGCACAACACCUAAUGACUGAGAAAUUAGGAAGCACUUCCAAGGAAAUUACUGUUUCAUAUGCUACAUAAGAAACUGGUUAUUUUACAUGGAUUCUAACAGCAUCUGAAUAUAAUCUAUACCCCUUAUAUAUUAUGUAUACCCCUUAUCAUAUUACCUCUAAAUAUAAUAUAUACCCCUUAUGAAAUGUAUCAGUUGUGUAUGAAAAUCUUAUAUUUUCAUAGAACCAUCAUCAAAUGCUUAAGGUGCUUAUAGGCACAGAAAUGACUAUAUAUUAUUGGACAAUAUGGGGUUUAGUGCAAAGAGCCCCUGGUUAGCUGCUAACUUGCUUUGUGACUUUGAGCAAGUCACUGUCCUGGACCAUGUCUUGUCUUGGUCUUUGUACUAUCUCUAGCAUCUAGCAUGUAGGCACACCAAUAAAAGUUUGUUGAAUGAAUAAUAAAUGGACCUUAAGUUUCCUCAUCUAUAAAUGGAAGGAUUUGGAUUAGACCUGUAAAUUUCUUUUUGAAAUUUCAAAUUUGAAAUCUCAAAUUCUGUUAUACUUUUAGCCCAGUCCUAGUAUUUCCUACCCUUAAGAACCAUAUGAUCAGUGCUGGCUUUCUUAUUUUACUUCCUUGGAUUCUUU